CAGGCUGCUGCAACUGUUUAUUAAAAACACAGCACUCUGCAAACACGAAAGUGGACGUAUAGGGUGUGAUGCCUGCCCGGUGCUGGAAGGUUAAUUGAUGGGGUUAGCGUAAGCGAAGCUCUUGAUCGAAGCCCCAGUAAACGGCGGCCGUAACUAUAACGGUCCUAAGGUAGCGAAAUUCCUUGUCGGGUAAGUUCCGACCUGCACGAAUGGCAUAAUGAUGGCAGCGCUGUCUCCAGCAGAGACUCAGUGAAAUCGAAAUCGCAGUGAAGAUGCUGUGUACCCGCGGCUAGACGGUAAGACCCCGUGAACCUUUACUACAGCUUUACAUUGAACUUUGACCUAACUUGUGUAGGAUAGGUGGGAGGCUUUGAAGCAGAUACGCCAGUAUUUGUGGAGCCAACCUUGAAAUACCACCCUGGUUAUGUUGGGGUUCUAACUUAGGAUCAACAAAUCCAAGGACAAUGUAUGGUGGGUAGUUUGACUGGGGCGGUCUCCUCCUAAAGAGUAACGGAGGAGUACGAAGGUGCGCUCAGAACGGUCGGAAAUCGUUCAAAGAGUAUAAAGGCAAAAGCGCGCUUAACUGCGAGACCCACAAGUCGAGCAGGUACGAAAGUAGGUCUUAGUGAUCCGGUGGUUCUGUAUGGAAGGGCCAUCGCUCAACGGAUAAAAGGUACUCUGGGGAUAACAGGCUGAUACCGCCCAAGAGUUCAUAUCGACGGCGGUGUUUGGCACCUCGAUGUCGGCUCAUCUCAUCCUGGGGCUGAAGCAGGUCCCAAGGGUAUGGCUGUUCGCCAUUUAAAGAGGUACGCGAGCUGGGUUUAGAACGUCGUGAGACAGUUCGGUCCCUAUCUACCGUGGGCGUUGGAAAUUUGAGAGGAUCUGCUCCUAGUACGAGAGGACCAGAGUGGACGAACCUCUGGUGUUUCGGUUG
rnacentral:rRNA from 1 species